ACUCCUACGGGAGGCAGCAGUGGGGAAUAUUGGACAAUGGGCGCAAGCCUGAUCCAGCCAUGCCGCGUGAGUGAUGAAGGCCCUAGGGUUGUAAAGCUCUUUCACCGGUGAAGAUAAUGACGGUAACCGGAGAAGAAGCCCCGGCUAACUUCGUGCCAGCAGCCGCGGUAAUACGAAGGGGGCUAGCGUUGUUCGGAUUUACUGGGCGUAAAGCGCACGUAGGCGGACUAUUAAGUCAGGGGUGAAAUCCCGGGGCUCAACCCCGGAACUGCCUUUGAUACUGGUAGUCUUGAGUUCGAGAGAGGUGAGUGGAAUUCCGAGUGUAGAGGUGAAAUUCGUAGAUAUUCGGAGGAACACCAGUGGCGAAGGCGGCUCACUGGCUCGAUACUGACGCUGAGGUGCGAAAGCGUGGGGAGCAAACAGGAUUAGAUACCCUAGUAGUCCCAUGA
rnacentral:rRNA from 1 species